rnacentral:pre_miRNA from 13 species
UUCGUCGCACCCGUAGGUCCGAACUUGUGUUUAAGUAAAGUCGCAAGUUGGAUGCUAAGGGUACGACGAGU